GUCUACGGCCAUACCACCCUGAAAGUGCCUGAUCUCGUCUGAUCUCAGAACCUAGGCAGGGUCAGGCCGGGUUAGUACUUGGAUGGGAGAAAGCAUAAUAGAUAGGGUGAAUUUGAUCAAUGUAUACU
rnacentral:rRNA from 1 species